GUCUUGAUGGUGAAAUGGUAGACACAUGAGACUCAAAAUCUCAUGCUAAAGAGUGUGGACAUUCAAGUCCCAUCAGGGCA
rnacentral:tRNA from 1 species